rnacentral:rRNA from 1 species
GACGAACGCUGGCGGCGUGCUUAACACAUGCAAGUCGAACGGAAAGGCCCUGCUUUUGUGGGGUGCUCGAGUGGCGAAAGGGUGGGUAACCCGGUAGUAAACUGCCCUUGACUUUGGGAUAACUUCAGGAAACUGGGGCUAAUACCGGAUAGGAGCUCCUGCUGCGUGGUGGGGGUUGGAGAGUUGCGGCGGUUGGGGAUGGACUGGCGGCGUAUCGGCUUGUUGGUGGGGUGGUGGCUUGCCAGGGCUUUGACGGGUAGCCGGCCGGAGAGGGGGAUCGGCCACAGCGGGACCGAGAGAGGGCCGAGGCUGUGACGGGUGGCAGCAGUGGGGAAGAUGGCACAAUGGGCGGAAGCCUGAGGGAGCAACGCGGCGUGGGGGAGGACGGCCCUUGGGUUGGAAAUGGAGGCCGCCUGUGAUGAAGCGGGAGUGACGGUAAUGGGGAAAGAAGCACCGGCUAACUACGUG